UGCCAGACUCCUACGGGAGGCAGCAGUGGGGGAUAUUGCACAAUGGGGGGAACCCUGAUGCAGCGACGCCGCGUGAGUGAAGAAGUAUUUCGGUAUGUAAAGCUCUAUCAGCAGGGAAGAAAAUGACGGUACCUGACUAAGAAGCCCCGGCUAACUACGUGCCAGCAGCCGCGGUAAUACGUAGGGGGCAAGCGUUAUCCGGAUUUACUGGGUGUAAAGGGAGCGUAGACGGUAUGGCAAGUCUGAAGUGAAAGCCCAGGGCUUAACCCUGGGACUGCUUUGGAAACUGUUAGACUAGAGUGCUGGAGAGGUAAGUGGAAUUCCUAGUGUAGCGGUGAAAUGCGUAGAUAUUAGGAGGAACACCAGUGGCGAAGGCGGCUUACUGGACAGUAACUGACGUUGAGGCUCGAAAGCGUGGGGAGCAAACAGGAUUAGAUACCCUUGUAC
rnacentral:rRNA from 1 species